UACGUAGGGGGCAAGCGUUAUCCGGAAUUACUGGGUGUAAAGGGAGCGUAGACGGUUAGGUAAGUCUGGAGUGAAAGGCGGGGGCCCAACCCCCGGACUGCUCUGGAAACUAUCGGACUAGAGUGCAGGAGAGGUAAGCGGAAUUCCUAGUGUAGCGGUGAAAUGCGUAGAUAUUAGGAGGAACACCAGUGGCGAAGGCGGCUUACUGGACUGUAACUGACGUUGAGGCUCGAAAGCGUG
rnacentral:rRNA from 1 species